AGGUUGUAGAAAUUUUCAAGCCAGGAAAGUUUGUGACUACUCUUUUUGUUAAUCAAAGCUCUAAAUGUCGUACUGUAUUUUCCUCUAUCCAGAAGAUUGAAGGAUUCAAGCGUCUUGAUCGCCAGUUUGCUCAAUUUAAUGAAUACAAUUUUGUGUUUACCAGUUUUUCUAAGAACGUGCAGCAGAGUUGAGUAAUAAAAAUGAAGAAAAAACGGAAAAAAGCUUGCAAAAAAGCUGGUGGCUACCUAGAUAAACAUGUUGAGGGCCAAAGCAUUCAAAGCUACCACUUAUUAGAUUUUUUAGGCCCCAAGAGUUGUGUAAUAUCGCAGAUGAACUGUAUACAUUCUUAUAUAAUGGAAAUAGAUAUCUUGCAUGAAUGCUCUUUUUUCUGUUUAAUUAUGUUAGGCCAUUCUUGCUGUGAAACUGAACUGCAUGUAGGAAAAACACAUUUUUACUGUAUGGCAUUCUGCAACACAUGUAAUGGUAAAAUCAUAUUUAUCUUGGUAUUUCUCCAGGUGUCACCAAAAAUUCCCCACAGACAAGGUUUUCGUGCACACUAGCGAAAGUACCCUGGCAUGCUUGGCUGGAUUUGUUAGUUCCAAGUACUAUGCAACUUGUCUAUCUUGGUCAGUUUUGUGUAAAGCUCUGCGUAGGUGCUUCAUAUGGGUGAUUUGCUAGAGCUUUAGUUUGGCAUUGUAAUGCAACAUGGACCAAAAAGUGCACAUUUUCAAUUGCAUUUUCUAGAGCUCUUCCUUACUGAACUUGGUAGAUAACUGGUACACCAGCUGAGCAUUUGUGUAUCCCUUUUUUUGUUUUGGCUACAUUCCUUUGUUUCACAAUCAGUGUGAUCUUUGUGUUUCUGUAGUGGAAAAACAAUUGGUUGUGUUUACAGGACAAGCUACUGAGACUGCUUACAGCUGCACUUAGACUAAUUUAUUUCCUGAGAGAUCUGUGCAGACAAGAUGACUAAAGAACUUGCCAGCCUAAGCAGGCCAGGGUUAAUUUGGACAGUUCCCUGUGUGAAAUUGCAUACACCAUCUGCAUCUUUUAGUGUGAAUAAACAAGUCUGCUGUAAACUUG